rnacentral:misc_RNA from 1 species
GAUGAAGAACGUAGCGAAAUGCGAUAAGUAAUGUGAAUUGCAGAAUUCAGUGAAUCAUCGAAUCUUUGAACGCACAUUGCGCCCGCCAGUAUUCUGCGGGCAUGCCUGUUCGAGCGUCAUUUCAACCCUCAAGCACAGCUUGGUGUUGGGACUCGCGUUAAUUCGCGUUCCCCAAAUUGAUUGGCGGUCACGUCGAGCUUCCAUAGCGUAGUAGUAAAACCCUCGUUACUGGUAAUCGUCGCGGCCACGCCGUUAAACCCCAACUUCUGAAUGUUGACCUCGGAUCAGGUAGGAAUACCCGCUGAACUUAAGCAUAUCAAUAAGCGGAGGA